rnacentral:tRNA from 1 species
UCGGGGAUAGUUUAAUCGGCAAAACAGCUGACUCCGGAUCAGCAAUUUGGGGUUCAAAUACUCUGUCCCCGAG